CCGCAUGACACACACACACGUAUCUCAAAGCAUGUUUAUGUGUGGAAGUUUGUCACUCGUCCGACGUCAGAGCUGAAUGCGCAUUCGCGGUAAGAGCCGCGCGCGCAUUCAAUCAGUCCAUAGAAAAGCAUUACUCAAAGCUUUCCUAUGGACGGCAGCGUCUUCUCACUGGGAUUUUCACAGUGUGAAGCACGGCAGCGCCUCUAGCAGCUGUCAAUGAGACAGCCACUAGAGGCUGGAUUAACCCUAUUGUAAGUUUACAGCUGCAGGGUUAACCCUAGAUGGACCUGGCACCCAAACCACUUAAUUAAGCUGCAGUGGUCUGGGUGCAUAUAGUGGUCCUUUAAGUCAGCCUCUAUUGGCCAGUAGAGGGCUUCCUGGUUUGAAAUGGACCUUUGAUCCGGGAAACGUCCUCA